CACAUAUUCAAUAAUUCUUUGUACACACAUAAGCACACACAAAAACACUCAAACACACACACAAUUAUAAAAUACCUACACAUAAGCAUUGUACUCUUUGUAAGAAGAUACGAAACAAAGAAACCAAAAAACUUAGAAAUAAAGACUCACUUCUGUUUUGGCAUUUGAAUGAAGAGGACGUUUUAUUAAUAUCUUGACACCUACAUAUAUACACCAUCUAGCUCCCGAUGGUAAUUGGCGCAGCCGGUUAAGGAAUGGAUCUACUUAUAAUCAUGCUAAAUCCGAUGAAUUCUGGCGCAACAACUUUUAUACCAACGCAGCAUUCGUAAAACUGGUGUCAAUACCACAAGCAAUAGCAUUUUAUUAAGGAAUGUCAAAGCGAUAUACACUUCGGCCAAGAACAUCUACCAGGCAAAUCAUAAAAAUAAGCGAAAACACAGUUUAUCCUCCCAACGAAAACUCAAUGGACUCCGGCAACGCCUCGGUAUCACUUCCGUCUACUAUAUCGACUUCAAACGGUACACCUUCAACAAUUAGCAUGGAUAACACUCCAACAACUAUUGUUUUAACUGAGGGCAUUCCUGCUUCUUGUAAGGUUUCUACUCCCUUUAAAAAUAAAUUAAGGCAAACAAUCACCGAACCCAGCUUUACCACAGAUAUUGUACUGGACAUCUUAAAGAAAACAUUAAAGCCAAAAAGGAUAUGCACAAUUUACACAUCAGACAACAUUUUUAAGAUAGUGCAAGAUGUGUUUUCUAAAGAGUUUUCUCACAAUAAACUUUUCAAAUUGUUUAGGUGUACAACUUUCCUAAAUGAUAUUACUAAUACUACUGACCAAGAAAAAAUUGUCAAUGAUUAUCACAAUAAUAACAAUCACCGAGGUAUUGAUGAAACACUAAUGCAUCUUAAAAGAAAAGUUUACUUUCCAUAUAUGAAAAGUAAAAUAAAGUACCACAAACUCCUUGCAAACCAAUGGAAAUAAUUCAUAUAGAUAUAUACACGAUAAACAAAAACUAUAACCUUACACUAAUAGAUAAGUUUUCAAAAUUCGCAUGUGCCUACCCUAUACCCAACAGGACCUGCAUAAACGUCGUUACUUCCAUGAAACAUUUUUUUAGUCUUUUUGGAAUACCUAAAAAACUAAUCUAUGACCAAGGUGCAGAGUUUUCCGGCAGUAUAUUUAAAGACUUUUGCAAUCAAUAUGACAUCCAAUGUCAUGUAACAUCCUUCCAACAGUCAUCCAGCAACUCCCCGGUAGAACGACUACAUUCAACACUUACCGAAAUU